GGGGUUGACUGGAUUUGACAGCGGGCAGAAAUGGUAGGUAAGCAUGCAGUGGGUCGGUAAUUUCCACUUAAAUCUCAGUUAUCAAAACUUUAUCUGGCGAAACUAAUUACGCUCUUGCUGCUUAAUCGAAUCACAGUAGAUUAGCUUAAUCCAGGCACUAGGUCGUAAGGACGAGACAUCACUCGGAAGCUGUUGCUCCGAAGCAUUCCGGUUCAGUGGUGCAGUAACAUCGGGGAUAGUCAGAAGCGGCCUCGCGUUUUUUGAUGAAACUUUAGAGGAUAAGGCAGGAAUUGAUGGCUUUGGUUCUGCUCCUGCACGAAAAUUUAGGCAAAGAUAAGCAUGUAGAAAGCUUAUGAUUUCCUCGUUUGGACGAGGGUUCGAUUCCCUCCAGCUCCACCU
rnacentral:tmRNA from 1 species